CCUGAGGGCCUCAUGCACCUGGGGGAGGAGAGCACGAUGUCAUUCCGGUGUUAUGCCUGUUUGGAAGGUCACACACUGACCCUCAAAGACAAGCUCCGGCUCUCCAUCCUGCGGCCCCGUUCUCCGGCACCAGAGAGGACAACGAGCAGAGGCCUCACUGCGGCCUGUGAAGCCUGGCUCGUGCUUCUGAGACUUCAAAAUAAGAGCCCAACACCAGGAUCAAGACAUUAUGCGCAAUGAUUACGACCUGCUGAUGUUUUCAAAGAAAAUGUAAUUCCAAGUGUGUGAAUACUUACUCAAAUAUGUUAAUAAAGAGUACACGUAUGCAGACCAGCAUGAUUUAAAAAUGACAGUAGUAAACUACAGCCACAUUUAUUGAGAAUGACAUUGGUUUUCACAAAGUUACUAAUUCAGUAUAUUUGGGUAUUUUUAUCCAAAGCUGCUGGGGUAUACUGAAUAAUAAGUACACACUUUUAUUGAUAAUUACAUCACAUUUAGUCAAAGAGUCCAUUUGGACCUUCUUUUUUAGGACCUUUGCAAUUCGCGAUGCAGUUAGUAAAUUCUGGGCCACAUCCUGAGAAACCUCAAGGUUUCACAAAUAGACCAGAUGCACUUUGGAUCGAUGGCAGACCAUCUCAGACAAUAUCAGAACAUUCCUAUGUAGAGUUUCCGAAUAAAAUACCUUUAAAAUCUCAUUCAUUGGCCAAUUUACUUAUAUUUUCAGAUUAGAUGUUAAAGGGGAGGGCAAUGGUUACUAAAUAAUUUCACUGCAGGUCAAUCACAAUAAAUAUAGUAUAAUUUAUCGUUCAUUCAUAAGUGCUGUUUAUUAAAAAUGUAUCUAUGGUAUACUCAUUGACUGAA